GAUGAACGCUGGCGGCGUGCCUAAUACAUGCAAGUCGAGCGAACAGACGAGGAGCUUGCUCCUCUGACGUUAGCGGCGGACGGGUGAGUAACACGUGGAUAACCUACCUAUAAGACUGGGAUAACUUCGGGAAACCGGAGCUAAUACCGGAUAAUAUAUUGAACCGCAUGGUUCAAUAGUGAAAGACGGUUUUGCUGUCACUUAUAGAUGGAUCCGCGCCGCAUUAGCUAGUUGGUAAGGUAACGGCUUACCAAGGCAACGAUGCGUAGCCGACCUGAGAGGGUGAUCGGCCACACUGGAACUGAGACACGGUCCAGACUCCUACGGGAGGCAGCAGUAGGGAAUCUUCCGCAAAGGGCGAAAGCCUGACGGAGCAACGCCGCGUGAGUGAUGAAGGUCUUCGGAUUGUAAAACUCUGUUAUUAGGGAAGAACAAUUGUGUAAGUAACUAUGCACGUCUUGACGGUACCUAAUCAGAAAGCCACGGCUAACUACGUG
rnacentral:rRNA from 1 species